rnacentral:rRNA from 1 species
CCUACGGGUGGCAGCAGUGGGGAAUAUUGGACAAUGGGCGAAAGCCUGAUCCAGCAAUGCCGCGUGUGUGAAGAAGGCCUUCGGGUUGUAAAGCACUUUCAGUGGGGAAGAAAGCCUUGGGGCUAAUACCCUCGAGGAAGGACAUCACCCACAGAAGAAGCACCGGCUAACUCCGUGCCAGCAGCCGCGGUAAUACGGAGGGUGCGAGCGUUAAUCGGAAUUACUGGGCGUAAAGCGCGCGUAGGCGGUCUGAUAAGCCGGUUGUGAAAGCCCCGGGCUCAACCUGGGAACGGCAUCCGGAACUGUCAGGCUAGAGUGCAGGAGAGGAAGGUAGAAUUCCCGGUGUAGCGGUGAAAUGCGUAGAGAUCGGGAGGAAUACCAGUGGCGAAGGCGGUCUUCUGGACUGACACUGACGCUGAGGUGCGAAAGCGUGGGUAGCAAACAGGAUUAGAUACCCGAGUAGUC